UUCAACGGCCGCGGUAUCCUAACCGUGCAAAGGUAGCGCAAUCAAUUGUCCCAUAAAUCGGGACACGUAUGAAUGGCUAAACGAGGUCUUAACUGUCUCUUACAGGCAAUCGGUGAAAUUGAUCUCCCUGUGCAAAAGCAGGGAUAACCACAUAAGACGAGAAGACCCUGUGGAACUUCAAAAACAGCAACCACCCCAACAUACAUUCACACCCACCCCGGGCUCACUUAUUCACAAAGCACUGGUUUGCAUUUUUUCGGUUGGGGCGACCUUGGAGCAAAACAGAACCUCCAAAAACUGGACCAUCCCUCCAGACUAAGAGCAACCCCUCAACGUGCCAACAGCACCCAGACCCAAUAUAAUUGAUCAAUGGACCAAGCUACCCCAGGGAUAACAGCGCAAUCUCCUCCAAGAGUCCAUAUCGACGAGGAGGUUUACGACCUCGAUGUUGGAUCAGGACAUCCUAGUGGUGCAGGAGCUACUAA
rnacentral:rRNA from 1 species